GGGCGCGCGGGCGCGGGGCGGCGGGCGCGCGCACCUCUCUCCGCCCCUACCUGGCCGUGACGCUGGCACAAUGGCGGCUUCCGUGCCCCCGCCGCGGCCCGUCACCCACCUGCUCUUUGACAUGGACGGCCUCCUUCUUGAUACCGAACGGCUGUAUUCGGUGGUGUUCCAAGAAAUAUGUGAUCGCUACGGAAAGAAAUACAGUUGGGACGUCAAGUCCCUUGUUAUGGGGAAGAAGGCAUCAGAGGCGGCACAGAUCAUAAUAGACGUCCUGCAGCUCCCGAUGACCAAAGAGGAGCUGCUGGAGGAAAGCCAGACGAAGUUGAAAGAGGUGUUCUCCACGGCCGCCCUGAUGCCAGGGGUGGAGAGACUGAUUCGCCAUCUGCGCCGGCACGGCGUGCCCCUGGCCGUGGCCACCAGCUCCAGCCGCGCAUCGUUUGACAUGAAGACCGGCAGACACCAGGCCUUCUUCGGCUUGUUUGACCACAUCGUGUUGGGGGAUGACCCCGAAGUGAGCAACGGGAAGCCCCAUCCCGACAUAUUUCUGGUCUGUGCCAAGAGGUUUUCCCCUGCUCCGCCCACCCACCAGAAAGAACUUUGCAUGGUGUUGCCCCCUGAAGAUGCAAUUCAGCAUCAAAACCAGCUUGGUCUCCCUCAAAGAAACCAUUGACGUGCAAAAGACCUCUAGGAUGUAGCAUUUCAUCAUACACUAGGGCUGCAGUGCACUCUGCAGAAUUGGACUUGAAAAAUGAAGAAGGUAGAUGGAGGUUAUAGUAAAUUUCUGUCGCACUAAAAGUUUCCUGAUCCCACGGCCGUGCGGUUUGUUGGAAUGUUGCAUGUCCUUGAAGCACUGUUCACCAGGCUUGUGGGGCUGGAACGCACGGAGAACUCAUUUUGCUACAACAGGAGGUUGCCAGGCCCUGGAACCCAAACAGGCGUCCAGAAGUACUUUGGCAUCUUUCUCCCACAUCCAUGGUCACCAUAUUGCAACACGGUGGUCCCACAUUCAUAUUCUCAUCCUGGAUCCCAUGAUGUUUUCAUCAUGCUGACGUUCUUUGCCAUGCUGCAGCUUUUCAUGGCCUGGGACGAUGAGGGCCUCAGCAUUGUAGCAUCACUUAGUCGAGACUCUUGCUCCCUGCCUUUGGUUUAUCAAAUGACCGACUCAGGAGCAGCGGCACAUGGACCCCCAAGCAAAGGUCUCAGGUGGCAGUCCCUGGAAUGUUCUUGUUUCGAUGGUCCUGAGAGUUUGCAAUUAGGUUUAUAUACCUUGCCUUAAUGACUGAAGUGUCCAAAAUCAUAAAUUCAAACUGUAAUGGAAGAAAAUGAUAAUUUAUCUCAUGACUGCAGUAAACAUAGUCCGAUGUCUCAGAUUUAUCCCCCUGAUUAUUCUUUAAACCAGAAAAGAUAUGUAUCAACCUAGAAAUGGUCUUUUUUAUGGGGAGCCAAUUCCAUGACUGUAUGUACCAUUGAUUCUUGGUCACUGAUGCCACUUUCGUAUUCGUGGGACAAGGAUGUUUUCCACAAAGCUCUCCCCUAUAAGAUAAUGGCAGCUGAUGCCUGAGCAUCUGCAUCUGGAAGUCUUGAUAUGAAAGUUUCUACCCCUCUUAGAUGAGAGGUGGCCUGUGGUCCCCACAAUGGGAUCCAGUUCUUUCUGCCCAUUCAUGGAGUGACUUGGAGAACAGAAAGCUGGUUUGCUGAAGAACCACUCAGUAGAGAGCUGACUGGAACGCUGAUGCCCAGAGGGACCCUGCAAGAUGUGGGCUGAAGACAACAGAGGCAUGACAGCUUGGAUCCCCGAAUGACUGUGUGGACCAGAGACUUCCACUGCCCCAUGGCACAAGCCCUACACUGUGCAUGAGAGUGACCACGUCUGAGCCACCACGUUGGGUCCAUUUGUAGCUGCAGCUUACCUACUCUAAAGCACCACCUCUGGUAGCCAGGAUUCUGACUACGUGUUGGUUGAUGCUCGAACAGAUUUUUGAGCCACCAUCGAAUCAUUUCUGAGGUCCGUCUACCGAGAUCAAGUCCCAUAAAGCAGGGAAAUCAUUUCCAUUGAUGACGAAUAGGUUGCCUUUAUGUGUUACCUUCACUUGGACACAUCCCACUGGAAGUCCUGGCUUUCACAGGAUCAUUUCAGGCCAUCGGUAACGGAUUAUGAACCGUAGUCCAUGAAGGAGCAGGCUUGUUGGGAGACG